AUUGAACGCUGGCGGCAGGCUUAACACAUGCAAGUCGAGCGGAGAGAGGUAGCUUGCUACUGAUCUUAGCGGCGGACGGGUGAGUAAUGCUUAGGAAUCUGCCUAUUAGUGGGGGACAACAUUUCGAAAGGAAUGCUAAUACCGCAUACGUCCUACGGGAGAAAGCAGGGGAUCUUCGGACCUUGCGCUAAUAGAUGAGCCUAAGUCGGAUUAGCUAGUUGGUGGGGUAAAGGCCUACCAAGGCGACGAUCUGUAGCGGGUCUGAGAGGAUGAUACGACACACAGGGACUGAGACACGGCCCAGACUCCUACGGGAGGCAGCAGUGGGGAAUAUUGGACAAUGGGCGGAAGCCUGAUCCAGCCAUGCCGCGUGUGUGAAGAAGGCCUUAUGGUUGUAAAGCACUUUAAGCGAGGAGGAGGCUACUUUAGUUAAUACCUAGAGAUAGUGGACGUUACUCGCAGAAUAAGCACCGGCUAACUCUGUGCCAGCCGCCGCAGUAA
rnacentral:rRNA from 1 species